ACGCUGGCGGCGUGCCUAAUACAUGCAAGUCGAGCGAAGGAUGUAGCAAUACGUCUUUAGCGGCGAACGGGUGAGUAACGCGUUGGUGACCUGCCUCGAAGCGUGGGAUAACAGUUCGAAAGGAUUGCUAAUACCGCAUGUGGUUGGAGAGAUUAGAAGCUUUGCAACUAAAGGAGAAAUUCACUUCGAGAGGGGCCUGCGUCCCAUCAGCUAGUUGGUAAGGUAAAGGCUUACCAAGGCUAUGACGGGUAGGGGACCUGAGAGGGUGACCCCCCACAAUGGAACUGAAACACGGUCCAUACACCUACGGGUGGCAGCAGUAGGGAAUAUUGCAUAAUGGGCGAAAGCCUGAUGCAGCAACGCCGCGUGUGCGAUGAAGGCCUUCGGGUCGUAAAGCACUUUUAGAGAGGAUGAGGAAGGACAGUACUCUCUGAAUAAGCCUCGGCUAACUACGUGCCAGCAGCCGCGGUAAAACGUAGGAGGCGAGCGUUAUCCGGAUUUACUGGGCGUAAAGCGCGUGCAGGCGGUAAGGAAAGUUGGAUGUGAAAGCUCCUGGCUUAACUGGGAGAGGUCGUUCAAAACUACCUAACUAGAGUGUGGGAGAGGGAGGCGGAAUUCCGGGUGUAGUGGUGAAAUGCGUAGAUAUCCGGAGGAACACCAGUGGCGAAAGCGGCCUCCUGGCCCAAGACUGACGCUCAGACGCGAAAGCUAGGGUAGCAAACGGGAUUAGAGACCCCGGUAGUCCUAGCUGUAAACGAUGUGGACUUGGCGUCGGCGGGUUUAAAUC
rnacentral:rRNA from 1 species